rnacentral:rRNA from 1 species
UACGUAGGGACCAAGCGUUGUUCGGAAUUACUGGGCGUAAAGGGCGCGUAGGCGGCGACUCAAGUUAGAUGUGAAAGUCCUGGGCUUAACCUGGGGACUGCAUUUGAUACUGGGUUGCUUGAAUUCGGGAGAGGAUAGCGGAAUUCCCAGUGUAGAGGUGUAAUUCGUAGAUAUUGGGAAGAACACCGGUGGCGAAGGCGGCUAUCUGGACCGACAUUGACGCUGAGGCGCGAAAGCGUGGGGAGCAAACAGG